rnacentral:rRNA from 1 species
UACGUAGGUGGCAAGCGUUGUCCGGAUUUACUGGGCGUAAAGAGCGCGCAGGCGGCUGGUCAAGUCCGAUGUGAAAUCCCCGGGCUCAACCUGGGAACUGCAUUUGUGACUGUAGAGCUGGAGUACGGUAGAGGGGGAUGGAAUUCCGCGUGUAGCAGUGAAAUGCGUAGAGAUGUGGAGGAACACCGAUGGCGAAGGCAGCCCCCUGGGUUAACACUGACGCUCAGGCACGAAAGCGUGGGGAGCAAACAGG